GACGAACGCUGGCGGCGUGCUUAACACAUGCAAGUCGAACGGAAAGGCCCUUCGGGGUACCCGAGUGGCGAACGGGUGAGUAACACGUGGGUGAUCUGCCCUGCACUUUGGGAUAAGCCUGGGAAACUGGGUCUAAUACCGGAUAGGACCACGGCAUUCAUGUGCUGUGGUGGAAAGCUUUUGCGGUGUGGGAUGGGCCCGCGGCCUAUCAGCUUGUUGGUGGGGUAAUGGCCUACCAAGGCGACGACGGGUAGCCGGCCUGAGAGGGUGACCGGCCACACUGGGACUGAGAUACGGCCCAGACUCCUACGGGAGGCAGCAGUGGGGAAUAUUGCACAAUGGGCGCAAGCCUGAUGCAGCGACGCCGCGUGAGGGAUGACGGCCUUCGGGUUGUAAACCUCUUUCGCCAGGGACGAAGCGCAAGUGACGGUAUCUGGAGAAGAAGGACCGGCCAACUACGUG
rnacentral:rRNA from 1 species